AUUGAACGCUGGCGGCAGGCCUAACACAUGCAAGUCGAACGAGCGGCGGACGGGUGAGUAAUGUAUGGGAAACUGCCUGAUGGAGGGGGAUAACUACUGGAAACGGUAGCUAAUACCGCAUACUAUCAGAUGAACCCAUAUGGGAUUAGCUAGUAGGUGGGGUAAAGGCUCACCUAGGCGACGAUCCCUAGCUGGUCUGAGAGGAUGAUCAGCCACACUGGGACUGAGACACGGCCCAGACGCCUACGGGAGGCAGCAGUGGGGAAUAUUGCACAAUGGGCGCAAGCCUGAUGCAGCCAUGCCGCGUGUAUGAAGAAGGCCUUCGGGUUGUAAAGUACUUUCAGCGGGGAGGCGUUACCCGCAGAAGAAGCACCGGCUAACUCCGUGCCAGCAGCCGCGGUAAUAC
rnacentral:rRNA from 1 species